GGGGGGCGGGGGCGGGGAUGGGAACGGGGGUGGUGGUGUGCUGUGUUUCAGGACAAACUUCAAAGUUCAAAUACUAAGAUAUCUGCAUCAUGUCCACCACAAGACAACAGCAUAAGGAACCACCAAACCAGUUUGGUAAUUUGGAAUAUGCAUGCCACAAGCAAAAUGAUAACUUGGAAAGGUGGACAGCGAUGCAGUGAGUAGGAAUGUUCAAUUAGCUGGUGGACAGCGAUGCAGAGAGUAGGAUUCACCAGAACACGACAUGACUCAAGUGGAGCAUGAGGGUGAGAAAUAUGGACGCAGACUUUUAACACAAUCUGAUAUAUCAUCAUCAUCAGCCAAAUCUUAUCCUAAUUAUUUGGGGUCAGCUAAAUGAAGUUUUAAAACGCCUUUUUGCAUCGCUAUGCCUCUCUCGUGCUCGAUCCUAUGACACAUGGGAGCUAAACGAUAUGAGCUACAAAUUUGACAUAUUCGUAGAUGAUCUUAACCAUGUAUGUUAUGGGUGACCUUCAAUUACUUCAUUAUUUUCUCUGUGAUCUAGACCAUCCAAUUUGUUAG